rnacentral:tRNA from 1 species
GCCCAGGUGGUGAAAUUGGUAGACACAAGGGACUUAAAAUCCCUCGGAGGCGACUCCGUGCCGGUUCAAGUCCGGCCCUGGGCACCA